rnacentral:rRNA from 1 species
CGCUGGCGGCGUGCCUAACACAUGCAAGUCNAACGCGAAAGGGGAGCAAUCCCUGAGUAGAGUGGCAAACGGGUGAGUAACACGUGGGCGACCUGCCUUCGAGUGGGGGAUAACGUCCCGAAAGGGACGCUAAUACCGCAUGACAUCCUGCUCUUGGACGAGCGGAGAUCAAAGCUGGGGAUCGCAAGACCUGGCGCUUGAAGAGGGGCCCGCGCCUGAUUAGCUAGUUGGUGAGGUAACGGCUCACCAAGGCGACGAUCAGUAUCCGGCCUGAGAGGGCGGACGGACACACUGGGACUGAGACACGGCCCAGACUCCUACGGGAGGCAGCAGUGGGGAAUUGUUCGCAAUGGGCGCAAGCCUGACGACGCAACGCCGCGUGGAGGAUGAAGAUCUUCGGGUCGUAAACUCCUGUCGAGCGGGAAGAACGUUUCGCGGAUGAAUAAGCCGCGGAAGUGACGGUACCGCUAAAGGAAGCCCCGGCUAACUCCGUGCCAGCAGCCGCGGUAAUACGGGGGGGGCAAGCGUUGUUCGGAAUUACUGGGCGUAAAGGGCUCGUAGGUGGCCAACUAAGUCAGACGUGAAAUCCCCAGGCUUAACCUGGGAACUGCGUCUGAUACUGGAUGGCUU